rnacentral:lncRNA from 13 species
ACAGUGUAAAAGCAUACCUGUUUCUCCACAUCCUCUCCAGCAUCUGUCAUCUCCUGGUAUUUUAAUGAUCACCAACCUAACUGAGAUGUCCUGCUCAACAAGAAGGGAGUCUAGUGACAGGCUAACUGCGGAGGCCUUGCUGAGCUGCCAUGGGCGCUACCCAGUUGCUGUGUAAUCUUCGUGGUCACUCUCUUUACAAAGGUGAAUAUGGAGGAAAGACAUUCCAGUAGGAGGAAAAGCUAUGAGCAAAGAAACAGAGGUGGGUCCUCCUAAAGUGUGCUGAAGAAUGCUAGAUAGGGGUGCCCGUGUUCAUGUAAAUAUGCACAAAAGCUGAGAUGAACAAGACUAUCCAGUGAUUCUGAGGUAUAAUGUGUGUGUGUGUUUCUUUCUCUCUCUAUAUAUAAAAUAUAUACAUAUAUGUAAAUUUAUUUCUCUC